CUCAGAUUGAAUGCUGGCGGCAUGCCUUACACAUGCAAGUCGAACGGCAGCACGGACUUCGGUCUGGUGGCGAGUGGCGAACGGGUGAGUAAUGUAUCGGAACGUACCUUUCAGUGGGGGAUAACGUAGCGAAAGUUACGCUAAUGCCGCAUAUUCUGUGAGCAGGAAAGCAGGGGAUCGCAAGACCUUGCGCUGAUUGAGCGGCCGAUAUCAGAUUAGCUAGUUGGUGGGGUAAAGGCCUACCAAGGCUACGAUCUGUAGCGGGUCUGAGAGGAUGAUCCGCCACACUGGAACUGAGACACGGUCCAGACUCCUACGGGAGGCAGCAGUGGGGAAUUUUGGACAAUGGGGGCAACCCUGAUCCAGCCAUGCCGCGUGAGUGAAGAAGGCCUUCGGGUUGUAAAGCUCUUUCGGCCGGGAAGAAAUCGCAUAGGUUAAUACCCUGUGUGGAUGACGGUACCGGAAUAAGAAGCACCGGCUAACUACGUGCCAGCAGCCGCGGUAAUACGUAGGGUGCGAGCGUUAAUCGGAAUUACUGGGCGUAAAGCGUGCGCAGGCGGUUUCGUAAGACAGAGGUGAAAUCCCCGGGCUCAACCUGGGAACUGCCUUUGUGACUGCGAAGCUAGAGUACGGCAGAGGGGGGUGGAAUUCCACGUGUAGCAGUGAAAUGCGUAGAGAUGUGGAGGAACACCGAUGGCGAAGGCAGCCCC
rnacentral:rRNA from 1 species